rnacentral:rRNA from 1 species
AGAGUUUGAUCCUGGCUCAGGACGAACGCUGGCGGCGUGCCUAAUACAUGCAAGUCGAGCGAAUCUGUUAAAAGCUUGCUUUUGACAGAUUAGCGGCGGACGGGUGAGUAACACGUGGGUAACCUGCCUGUAAGACUGGGAUAACUCCGGGAAACCGGGGCUAAUACCGGAUAACUUCUUCCUCCGCAUGGAGGAAUAUU